rnacentral:rRNA from 1 species
AUCGAACGCUGGCGGCAGGCCUAAUACAUGCAAGUCGAACGAGUGGCGGACGGGUAAGUAAUGUUUGGGAAUCUGCCUGAUGGAGGGUGCUAACUACUGGAAAUGGUAGCUAAUAACGAAUACUACCGGUUCUUCCCUGAUGGGAUUAGCUAGUAGGUGGGGUAAAGUCUCACCUAGGCGACGAUCCCUAGCUGGUCUGAGAGGAUGACCAGCCACACGGGAACUGAGACACGGUCCAGACUCCUACGGGAGGCAGCAGUGGGGAAUAUUGCACAAGGGGCGCAAGCCUGAUGCAGACAGGCCGCUUGUAUGAAGAAGGCCUUCGGGUUGUAAAGUACUUUCAGCGGGGAGGCGUUACUCGCAGAAAAAGCACCGGCUAACUCCGUGCCAGCAGCCGCGGUAAUUC